UAUAAAGAGAAGUCCUAUUGCUACAAGGUUUUGUUCCAGCGGCAAAGACAAGGUUGUUCGAGUUGAAGAUGCGGCAAAGUUAUGAUCUAGUUGAAGAAAGAGUUGAAGAUGGGUCGAACGCGAAUUUCACACAAUGUAGGAAUCUUACGUGUGAGCUUCUAAGUUUCAAGAGAAAAAGGAAGCAUAACAGAAGUAGGAUUUCUAGUUGAAAUAGGUUUUAAAUUCAAGUCCAAAUCUAUAAAUAGGACGAUAGUUUCGCUUGAGAAAAAAUGUGCACUUACAUAGAGAGACGAGCAAAAUACGAUCAAGUGUUUUAAGAGUUACUUGGGAGUGUUACCAAUUUGUGAGGAAAAAGUUUUAAAAUUGUAAUUAAGAGUUUUGAUUGCAAUAGAGUGUGUGUAGAGGAUUCGUCUAACAAAUUUGAGAAACUUGACGGACGAUGGAAGACUUAAACCUAGAGGUUUUUGUCUUGGGUAGGUAGGAAUUAGAGUUUAUAAUUUCUUAGGUUGGAAUUAGAGUUUACAAUUCCUUAGGUUACAUAGGCUUGUAAUCUUAUGUAGAAGUUUGGAGUUUAAUAAAGUGGAAUUAAAUCCUACAGAGGUAUAUGUCGUGGUUUUUACCCUUUACUAGUUUUCAGAAACGUGCGUUGCACGUUUAUUCCAAAUAAUAAUGCAUGCAUAUUAUAUUUUUCAUGCAACCAAUAAAUUUUUAAAGUUCAGAAAUUGAUAUUGUAGAACAUAAAAAAAAUGUUAUAAAGAAAUAAGAGAUUCUUACCAAAUCAAUAUAGUUAAUUAUUGAAUUAUCACAUAUAACUCUAGUUAUACACUAUAUGUUGUCCUAUAUUUAUGAUUUAUAUCCACCAAAAUUGAGAGAUAUGGUACGUGUGCCUAUUCCACCUUGGAGAUAUGGUGCGUUGACUCAAGUAAAGGAUGACUAUCCUAUGUAACUAUUUACAACGAUUGUGGGGUGUUUUUAUGUUAGAUAUGUACGGAGGAAUGGACAUGAGUGUGAAUUGUAGUGUGUGCGUAAAUCUUUGACACAAGAAGUCUCGGCAAACAUUGAAGAAACAUCCCUUUGUUGACAGUCGUACUUUGUUGCGCAACGUAUUACCAGGUAUAAACAGUGGUAAUGACAUUGUUGUGAUCUACACAAUUGAAAGGAUAUAUCUUUAUUACUUGAAUGGACAGAAGGUGGAGAUCUGCUAUAAGACUCUAGGACAAUUAAAUCCUAAGAGAAGAUACAUACCAGACACAAACAACCUCGACACGGUGCAUGAGCUGAAGUAGUACUUAUUCUGUUGCAAUCAAGUAGAAUUCUCAUGUUUAAUUUCAUCUUCUUUUGUUUUUAUAUGACUUGAAUUUCAGAUUAAGUUGUUUUUGUAAUAGACAUGGAUUGCCAAGGUAGUUUGAACGAUUUUUCCUUUACCCAUUUCUAAUUAUUUCUUGCUUGAUUGCGUGUUUUUACUUGUGAGUUCCUUUUUACUGCUACAUGAUCUGAAGAAGUAGCUAUUGUGUUGCAGAUCAUACCACACAUUCUAUCGUAAAAUUUAAACAGUAGUAGUAGAAAGGAACUCACAAGUAAAAACACCCAAUCAAGCAAGAAAUAAUUAAAAAUGAGUGAAGGAAAAAAUGUUCACACUACAUUGGUAAUCUAAAACAUGUCUAUUACAAAACAGCUUAAUCUGAAUUCCAAGUCAUAUAAUAACGAAAAAAGAUGAAAUUAAACAUGAGAAUUCUACUUGACAUUAACAGAACAACUACUACUUCACCUCAUGUGACGUAGCGAGGCUGUUUGUGUACGGUAUGAAUCUUCUCUUAGGAUUUAAUUGUCCUAGAGUCAUAAUAGUAGAUCUCCACCUUUUGUCCAUUCAGGUAAUAAAGAUGUAUUCUUUCAGGUGUGUAGAUCACCACAAUGUCAUCACCACUGUUUAUACACGGCAAUGCGUCGCACAAAAUAGUACAAUUGUCAACAAAGGGUUUCUCCAAUGUUUGCCGAGACUUCUUGUGUUCAAGAUAUAUGUACACACUAUGAUUCAGACUCAUGUCCAUUGCUCCGUACAUAUCUAACAUAAAAACAUCCCUGCAAUCGUUGUAAACAGUUACAUAGGAUAACUAAUCCUUUACCUGAGUCAACGCACCUUGUCUCCCAGGUGGAAUAGGAACAUGUACAACUACUGCAACCUCAUUUUUUGCAUCAAAUGCUAGCACACCAUGUUUUACUAAUACCAAGAAAAACACAUUUAUCACCUCUAUUAUCAAGCUUCUUUCUUUUUGCUUUUGAAAUAUGUGCAUAAGCAAUGUAUCCUAAAUUUUUGAAGUGGUCUACUGUUGAUUUCCUUCUGCUCCAAACUUCCAUGGGUAUUACAUCUCGAAGACAAAAAGUGGAACUUCUGUUCAAGAUAAGAAUGCUCCUGUUAGGUACAUAUGAAUAUGUAUAUUUUAUAGACUGACAAUCCGGUGAAUUAUGGAGCAAGCUGAGCAAAUGUGAAUUGAGUCGCCAAAGUUUACUGGAAGAGGAAUUAGGAGGCUGACUUAAAGUAGGAAAACUGCAACCUAAUGACAACAAAAGAAGCAUAAGAUUAUAGUUAUUAUAAUUCAUUCAGAGAAAGAAAAACUAUUUCCUACUUGGUUAAGGAUAUAGUUUGAGGCAGUCAAGACAAAGAAGGAAAGUUAUUUUCUACUUGUUUAAGUAAAUAGUUUGAGGUGGCAUAGUUUAUAAGGAAAAUCAUAUAUGAAGUUUCCUUUCAAUGCAUAGUAUAAAGAGAAGUCCUAAUGCUACAAGGUUUUGUUCCAGUGGCAAAGACAAGGUUGUUCGAGUUGAAGAUGCGGCAAAGUUAUGUUCUAGUUGAAGAAAGAGUUUAAGAUGGGUCGAACGCGAAUUUCACACAAUAUAGGAAUCUUACGUGUGAGCUUCUAAGUUUCAAGAGAAAAAGGAAGCAUAACAGAAGUAGGAUUUCUAGUUGAAAUAGAUUUUAAAUUCAAGUCCAAAUCUAUAAAUAGGGUGAUAGUUUCGCUUGAGAAAAAAUGUGCACUUACAUAGAGAGACGAUCAAAACACGAUCAAGAGUUUUGAGAGUUACUUGGGAGUGUUACCAAUUUGUGAGGAAAAAUUUUUAAAAUUGUAAUUAAGAGUUUUGAUUGCAAUAGUGUGUGUGUGUGUGUAGGAUUCGUCUAACAAAUUUGAGAAACUUGACGGACGAUGGAAGACUUAAACCUAGAGGUUUUUGUCUUGGGUAGGUAGGAAUUAGAGUUUAUAAUUUCUUAGGUUGGAAUUAGAGUUUACAAUUCCUUAGGUUACAUAGGCUUGUAAUCUUAUGUAGAAGUUUGGAGUUUAAUAAAGUGGAAUUAAAUCCUACAGAUGUAUAUGUCGUGGUUUUUACCCUUUACUAGUUUUCAGAAACGUGCGUUGCACGUUUAUUCCAAAUAAUAAUGCAUGCAUAUUAUAUUUUUCAUGCAACCAAUAAAUUUUUAAAGUUCAGAAAUUGAUAUUGUAGAACAUAAAAAAAUGUUAUAAAGAAAUAAGAGAUUCUUACUAAAUCAAUAUAGUUAAUUAUUGAAUUAUCACAUAUAAUUCUAGUCAUACACUAUAUCUUGUCCUAUAUUUAUGAUUUAUAUCCACCAAAAUUGAGAGAUAUGGUACGCGUGCCUAUUCCACCUUGGAGAUAUGGUGCGUUGACUCAAGUAAAGGAUGACUAUCCUAUGUAACUAUUUACAACGAUUGUGGGGUGUUUUUAUGUUAGAUAUGUACGGAGGAAUGGACAUGAGUGUGAAUUGUAGUGUGUGCGUAAAUCUUUGACACAAGAAGUCUCGGCAAACAUUGGAGAAACAUCCCUUUGUUGACAGUCGUACUGUGUUGCGCAACGUAUUACCGUGUAUAAACAGUGGUAAUGACAUUGUUGUGAUCUACACAAUUGAAAGGAUAUAUCUUUAUUACUUGAAUGGACAGAAUGUGGAGAUCUGCUAUUAAGACUCUAGGACAAUUAAAUCCUAAGAGAAGAUACAUACCGUACACAAACAACCUCGAUACGGUACAUGAGCUGAAGUAGUACUUAUUCUGUUGCAAUCAAUUAGAAUUCUCAUGUUUAAUUUCAUCUUCUUUUGUUUAUAUAUGACUUGAAUUUCUGAUUAAGUUGUUUUUGUAAUAGACAUGGAUUGCCAAGGUAGUUUGAACGAUUUUUCCUUUACCCAUUUCUAAUUAUUUCUUGCUUGAUUGCGUGUUUUUACUUGUGAGUUCCUUUUUACUGCUACAUGAUCUGAAGAAGUAGCUAUUGUGUUGCAGAUCAUACCACACAUUCUAUCGUCAAAUUUAAACAGUAGUAGUAGAAAGGAACUCACAAGUAAAAACACCCAAUCAAGCAAGAAAUAAUUAAAAAUGAGUGAAGGAAAAAAUGUUCACACUACAUUGGCAAUCAAAAACAUGUCUAUUACAAAGCAGCUUAAUCUUAAAUCCAAGUCAUGUAAUAACAAAAAAAAGAUGAAAUUAAACAUGAGAAUUCUACUUGAUAUUAACAGAACAACUACUACUUCAACUCAUGUAACGUAGCGAGGCUGUUUGUGUACGGUAUGAAUCUUCUCUUAGGAUUUAAUUGUCCUAGAGUCAUAAUAGUAGAUCUCCACCUUUUGUCCAUUCAGGUAAUAAAGAUAUAUCCUUUAAGUUGUGUAGAUCUUCACAAUGUCAUCACCACUGUUUAUAGACGGUAAUACGUUGCACAACACAAUACCAUUGUCAACAAAGGGUUUCUCCAAUGUUUGCCGAGACUUCUUGUGUUCAAGAUAUAUGUACACACUACGAUUCAGACUCAUGUCCAUUGCUCCAUACAUAUCUAAAAUAAAAACAUCCGUGCAAUCAUUGUAAACAGUUACAUAGGAUAGCUUAUCCUUUACCUGAGUCAACGCACCAUAUCUCCCAGGUGGAAUAGGCACACGUACAACUGGUGCAACCUCAUUUUUUGCAUCAAAUGCUAGCACACCAUGUUUUACUAAUACCAAGAAAAACACAUUUAUCACCUCUAUUAUCAAGCUUCUUUCUUUUUGCUUUUGAAAUAUGUGCAUAAGCAAUGUAUCCAAAAAUUUUGAAGUGGUCUACUGUCGGUUUCCUUCUGCUCCAAACUUCCAUGGGUAUUACAUCUCGAAGACAAAAAGUGGAACUUCUGUUCAAGAUAAGAAUGCUCCCGUUAGGUACAUAUGAAUAUGUAUAUUUUAAAGACUGACAAUCCGGUGAAUUAUGGAGCAAGCUGAGCAAAUGUGAAUUGAGUCGCCAAAGUUUACUGGAAGAGGAAUUAGGAGGCUGACUUAAAGUAGGAAAACUGCAACCUAAUGACAACAAAAGAAGCAUAAGAUUAUAGUUAUUAUAAUUCAUUCAGAGAAAGAAAAACUAUUUCCUACUUUGUUAAGGAUAUAGUUUGAGGCAGUCAAGACAAAGAAGGAAAGUUAUUUUCUACUUGUUUAAGUAAAUAGUUUGAGGUGGCAUAGUUUAUAAGGAAAAUCAUAUAUGAAGUUUCCUUUCAAUGCAUAGUAUAAAGAGAAGUCCUAAUGCUACAAGGUUUUGUUCCAGCGGCAAAGACAAGGUUGUUCGAGUUGAAGAUGCGGCAAAGUUAUGUUCUAGUUGAAGAAAGAGUUGAAGAUGGGUCGAACGCGAAUUUCACACAAUGUAGGAAUCUUACGUGUGAGCUUCUAAGUUUCAAGAGAAAAAGGAAGCAUAACAGAAGUAGGAUUUCUAGUUGAAAUAGGUUUUAAGUUCAAGUCCAAAUCUAUAAAUAGGGCGAUAGUUUCGCUUGAGAAAAAAUGUGCACUUACAUAGAGAGACGAUCAAAACACGAUCAAGAGUUUUGAGAGUUACUUGGGAGUGUUAACAAUUUGUGUGGAAAAAGUUUUAAAAUUGCAAUUAAGAGUUUUGAUUGCAAUCGAGUGUGUGUGUAGGAUUCGUCUAACAAAUUUGAGAAACUUGACGGAUGAUGGAAGACUUAAACCUAGAGGUUUUUGUCUUGGGUAGGUAGGAAUUAGAGUUUAUAAUUUCUUAGCUUGGAAUUAGAGUUUAUAAUUCCUUAGGUUACAUAGGAUUGUAAUCUUAUGUAGAAGUUCAGAGUUUAAUAAAGUGGAAUUAAAUCCUACAGAGGUAUAGGUCGUGGUUUUUACCCUUUAGUAGUUUUCAGAAACGUGUGUUGCACGUUUAUUCCAAAUAAUAAUGUAUGCAUAUCAUAUUUUUCUCGCAAUCAACAAAUUUUAAAAGUUUAGAAAUUGAUAUUGCAGAACAUAAAAAAUGUUCUAAAGAAAUAAGAGAAUCUUACCAAAUAUAGUUAAUCAUUGAAUUAUCACAUAUAAUUAUAGUUAUACACUAUAUCUUGUCCUAUAUUUAUGAUUUAUAUGAUGCCACUAAAACUGAAAGAAGGAAAAAUUAAACAAACUCAACUAAAUAUUUUUAAAACACAUAUGAAGAUUGAAUCAAAUAAAAGAAAAGAUUUUGAAAUUAAUAAUUGAAUACUACGAUUUCUUAUGAUUUAUAAGAUAUUACCGAUUGCAUAAUUUAUUGUUUGCAGACCAAUUUUUCCCUUCAUUCAAUAUGAGAGAAUGGAAGAUGAAGUUUUAAAAUUUAAUUUGUAGAAAUUAAAUGAGAAGUGUUGAUAUUUGAUCUUUCAUCUUUGUUAAUGUUUUUCUCAUUUUAUUGCAAUUAAAAGUCUAUUCAAUUUUUUACUUUUAACAUCUUUUCACUUUUAGUAUUUAGUAUAAUAUAUAUGAUAUUGUUUACUAUUUAAUUAGUUAGAUAUUUAAUUUAGCAUAGAGGUAAAAUGAUAAUCCAAGUUUACACUUAAAAGCAUAAUGAAACUUAGCAUACCUAAUUUGUACAAGUCACUUAAAAGCAUAAUGAAACUUAGCAUACCUAAUUUGCACAAGUCAAACAAGAUGAAAUAAAAAAUUUAACAUGAAAAGCUAUACUACAUAGUCCUUAAAGAGAAGAGUAUCAACAACAACUUGCUUCACUUAUUGAAUUUUUAAUCUUAUUUAUUAAUUAU
rnacentral:lncRNA from 1 species